rnacentral:lncRNA from 1 species
AUGGGAUUGGCUUUGAACCUGGCACUGGGACAGGGAGCGAUGCUCUGCACCCCAUGUGCUGCACCCACCCGGGUUCCCUAUGGAGAGGCACCGGACCGGUUCCUCCGCGUGAGCAUGAGCAAUUCUGAGCUGGGUGAAGCCGUAUCACAUUCCAGAACGUGGCACUUCCCUGUGCUUUUGCUCCCUGCAGCACAGCUGGGGGCCGGCAGCACGCUGCCAGCAUUACAGCAGCUCGGGGCCACGAGUGGGAUGGGGCUGUGCUGUGCUAUCUCGCUGCUGUGCUCGGGUUGUUCAUCUCUCCUGCUGACACAGAUAGCAGAUUUGUCCUUGGGGAACGGUGUAUCCUGUGCUUCCAGCAACUCCUGCACGCCAAAAGCAUUUCCCUCUCCGACAAUAGUGCUGUUCUCAGUGCAGCUCUCCUGGCUGUGCUCCCGUCUGGUGCAGCAGCACCUCCCCGUGCUCAGCCCCAUCCCGCAGACCCCCCCCAGAGCCCCUUUCCACCUCCAUUCAGGAAGGAGCAAAACCCAAUGCCAGGAGCUGGAGCUGGGUGACCUGGCAGGGGAAAUCCGCUCGCUGGACUCCAGCAGGAAGCUCAGGCUGAGCAGGAGGAGCUCGAAGCUGUACUUGCAGGACAGAAGCUUUCAAGGGCAGGAAGCAGGCAGUGAGCAUUCCCCGGCAGCUCUGCCGUGCUGUGGGACUGGGGACUGCAGGAAGACCUGCGGGCUGAGGGGCAGUGAGGUGGAUGAGCAUCAUCCAGCUUCUUGUAGGGGUGUUAUAGGGUCGGUGUUUGCAGCCUGCAGCCCUCAGUCCCCUGUAUGUGACCCCCCCAGCACACAUGGGCUUGUUGGUGUCUGUGCAGCUUGCUGUCAUGCUGCAGGAGUGGGAGCCUUGCUGUCAUGCUGCAGGAGUGGGAGCCGUGCACGACACCUCCUGUUCCUCUGGGUGCAGCCAGGCGUUUGGAGGGGUGAGAACAGAUUUCCCCUGUCAUUAGAAGGACAAAAGCUGGGAAACAAAACCUUCCCCAUCCUGGAGGGCUGGAGGGAGAAGAACUUUUUCAAGUUUGGUUAA